rnacentral:rRNA from 1 species
UGAGGAAUAUUGGUCAAUGGGUGCAAGCCUGAACCAGCCAUCCCGCGUGAAGGACGACUGCCCUAUGGGUUGUAAACUUCUUUUGUAUAGGGAUAAACCUACCCUCGUGAGGGUAGCUGAAGGUACUAUACGAAUAAGCACCGGCUAACUCCGUGCCAGCAGCCGCGGUAAUACGGAGGGUGCAAGCGUUAUCCGGAUUUAUUGGGUUUAUAGGGUCCGUAGGCGGACUUAUAAGUCAGUGGUGAAAGCCUGUCGCUUAACGAUAGAACUGCCAUUGAUGCUGUAAGUCUUGAGUAUAGUUGAGGUAGCUGGAAUAAGUAGUGUAGCGGUGAAAUGCAUAGAUAUUACUUAGAACACCAAUUGCGAAGGCAGGUUACCAAGAUAUAACUGACGCUGAGGGACGAAGGCGUGGGUAGC